AAGGGUCAACCAUACUUCUGUGAUUCUGGAGUCACAUGAAGGUCAGACCAGACUUUAAUGAAUCCCAUAACUGCUCUAUUCUUUAAAUGGCCAUAGCAGUAAUCGACAUUCUACUCUCUCCAUGAACCUCCCAUUGGGACAAUGAAAAUGCUUGUAAGGAUUUUGGAUACAAACUGCAGGAUGAAACAGUGAGGGUGACAGGAGAUUCCUGAGGCCUGGUGGCAAAGAGCAGGAGUGGUGAAGCGGAGCACUCUUUCACCUCAUUGGAAAAACCGUUAGACCUAAUGAGGUCAAACAAUGUUCCAGU